CUCAUCCACUUCCGCCGGCUCCAAUCAGAUUUUGCCGUUUGCUGGUGGAAAAAUCGGUGAGGGAACGAAGGAAGAAGAGGAGAAGACACCCUAAAGUCCCAUGGCUGCGCACCAAUGCCACCGACCAGAUCUUAAUCUCGCCGAAAUCCCCCAGAAAAUGGCGGCGUCAACGAUAUCCGCCGCCGCCUACUAUUCUUUCCGCUGCCCCUCCUUGCUCCUCCGAGAGCAAGCCCCUCAACAUCCUCGCCAUGGCCCCGAGAAAGGAGGUGAAUCGGUACGACGAGAUUUGGUAGAAGCUCUGGUACGGGACGGGGCUCUUCGCGGAGGGCACCAAGGAGGUGAGCGUGGAAGUGGUCGAGAAGCUUGAGAAGCGCGAGGUCCUCGGUGGCGUCGAGAAGGCACACCUCCUCUCCAAGGCCGAGCAACUCCGCUUCACCCUCUCUUAGGUUUUUCCUCACCAAAACCCCCAUCAAAUUUCUUUGAUUUCUUCCCAUUUACGGCGGUUCGUCCUUGCUUUGGCCGUCAAGAAUUCGAUUAAUCUCAAUCAAGGAUCCGCUGCCUCAACCAAUGCAAGGAGUGCUUGGAAAUAACAAUCUUACUUCACCUUGCUGAAAAAAGUGAAACAAAAUAUCAGGGUUGGGACAGGGCUUGAUCGUUAUGGAUAUGCUUCCUGAACUUGCUGAGAAAAUGACCUCCAACAAGAAACUAUUGAUGGAGCUAAGCCCACAUAAAUGGCCAAUAUGAUGCCACGGCAACAUGCAAUAGGCAACUCAUUCAUGACAAUGUGAGCAAGCCCACUAAAAUAAUAUCUGAGCAGGCAGUGGUUUUCUAAGAUUUGAGCAGAGGGGUGAUAAAUGGGAGGGGGAGAUUUUUAAGUUAGCAGGCGUGCAAACUGUGAAAGAAUUCUAGGAGACCAAGUGAGAAAGCAGCCUAUAUUACAAACUGGGGUUAGAGGGUUUUUCCUUAGGAUUAUGUUCAUGUUGACAGACAAAUCUUACACUCAACUAUGUCUUUGAGACAACUCUUACAUGGGACUGUUCUUUAAAGUAGAUGGAUGAUUUUGUACAAGUUAUAGCAAUGCAUGUUUAGAGAUCAAAAUGGAGUUGGCUUCCGAUUUUCUACAUAGACCAUUCAUUGAUGUAGAACAGAUUACAAACAGAAAAAAAGGGCAGGCAGGGGGACAUUGAAACAUCUUAAGCAAUGCUUUUCUUUCCCCUGCAGGAUGAGAUCAUAGAACACAACAUGGUGAUAAUAUUUAUUGGUGGCUGUAAGUAUCCUGUGACGAACAAAAUCUAUCCAUGAAUGCUGUAAUAGCAAUAAGCUCCUCCCUUCAAUCCUCAUCAUAGCGGUCAUGUGAAUGUGCCUCAUUUCUUAGCUCAGUACUUAACCCUCAAUGAUAUUUUGGAGCUCUUUUCCUGACACUUUUAACCCAAAUCCACCACUAGUAUACUGCACAAAAGUGUCUUUGAGGUCGGGAGGAUAAUACAUAUACAUUAUAAGAUGUGCUUGAAGGUCUAAUGCAGGAUCUUCUGCUAUAAGGAGGCUUCAAGAAUAGGAUUACACCCAUUAUGAAGGUUAAACGCUGAGGCACAGAUGCUGUAAUAAUAACCAUAUCAGAACAACAUCUGACCACAUGAGCUAAACCUUUUGUAGCAAAAACUCCAAAUGGAUUCGACUUGUUGUAGCAGAACCAUGUAUCCCAUAGCCCAAGAGAAACUCUAUGUACUCAGAUCAGCCAGCUUAAGACUUUUGCCAGCUAGAAAAUCUGAUCCUGGUCAGAAAAUACAUGACCAGGUAGGGAGGGUCUGCACUUACAAGCUCUCAUUUGGCAUAUCUUCUGCGUCCAAGGGUGCUCACAUUUGCACCAACCAAGAUAAGGUGAGCUCUGUUAACUCUCAAGAACCAAGAUAACGUUACAAAUGCUCAGAUCUGCACCAACCAAAAUAAGGCGUCAGUUUCUAGAUAUUGGACUAUUAAGCGGAAUUUUGCUCUACGUACCAUUCAACCCCUCAAAAUUCCCUCUUCAUAUGGUUAGGAGGCCUGUCAGCAAGUUUGGAGGGCUAUACCACAACAAAUAACCUCCCCCAAUCCAAAACCCAGCCCUGAUGAAGCACAUUGGAUCUAUUCUCCAUUCCUCCGUCUAAAACAAUCAUCAGGGGACAUAAGCAUCGAGGUGGCUGGCGCCUUUGGUACUGUUGCUUUCACCCUUUUUGUGGUAGGGUUUGGUGCUGUUUCUUGUUUUAAAUCUUCUUAUUUUUGUUGGCAUGAAACGUAUAUAAAUUGAGAGUACAGAAUCUGCUCAUCUUGUUGGCAUCGUGAAAUAACUCGUUCCCAAGUAAACUUCUACUCCAUGACAUUGAUUUCUUUUUCAUUAAUAAAGAAGUUUACAAUGUUUACAUCCCCAAUAUGCCUUUUAGAGUACUGAUCUGUUGCUGUCCAUGCCUCUUGUUACGUUCACGGAGUCAUGGCUCGGAUAGGUUGAUCUUCACUCUGAUGUACGUGAGUCUUCCGGUCAAGAAGAAUUUUGGACAAAAUUGUGGAAGGUGCAUCAUAGUCCGUCGGAGGCACGUCAGUCCCACGAUGGGUGCCAAUAUUGUGGUCAAAGACUCGUGGCUCGAGCAGAUUGGUCUUUGCUUCUACAUACUGCAGCAACAAAUAUGGUAAGGGCACUGGAAAGAGCCUUCGCGGACAACCAAGCACUGGAAAGAGACAAGAGAACUCUUCUAGGCAUUCACAAAGAUUUCUAAUACGAGGGCUCAUUUACCAAUCAUAUCCCCUUUCAAGUUUCGGACUGGUACGUUACGAGAGAAUUGGGAUGGUUUAACAAGGGCAGCAGUUUCAGUCCAAGAAACUUGUCCGCUGCAAAGCAUUGCACCAGCACCGUCUUACCAUGUAUUAAAGCAUGAAGAAGAUUUUGUGAAAAAUUGUUGCGUCAUAUCUGUUAAGUCUACGUCGGUGUAAAAUUCUGGCUGUAAGAUCAACAUGUCGCACUAGCAUUAUUAAUUUAGUUCCUAUGGUUGCAAGAAUGAAAA